CCCCUAGAUGUUCUGGGCCGCACGCGCGCUACACUGAACAGUUCAACAAGUCUGAACCUUGGCCGAUAGGUCUGGGUAAUCUUUGAACGCUGUUCGUGAUUGGGAUAGACCUUUGCAAUUAUGGGUCUUCAACGAGGAAUUCCUAGUAAACGCAAGUCAUCAGCUUGCAUUGAUUACGUCCCUGCCCUUUGUACACACCGCCCGUCGCACCUACCGAUUGAAUGGUCCGGUGAAAUCUCGGGACGGCGGCUUGGUCGCUUGCGUCCGACUGCUGAAACUUGAUUAAACCAUAUCAUUUAGAGGAAGGUGAAGUCGUANCA
rnacentral:rRNA from 1 species